GAAAAGAACCCCGGCGAGGGGAGUGAAAAAGAACCUGAAACCGUGUACGUACAAGCAGUGGGAGCCUCUUUAUGGGGUGACUGCGUACCUUUUGUAUAAUGGGUCAGCGACUUAUAUUCUGUAGCAAGGUUAACCGAAUAGGGGAGCCGAAGGGAAACCGAGUCUUAACUGGGCGUUAAGUUGCAGGGUAUAGACCCGAAACCCGGUGAUCUAGCCAUGGGCAGGUUGAAGGUUGGGUAACACUAACUGGAGGACCGAACCGACUAAUGUUGAAAAAUUAGCGGAUGACUUGUGGCUGGGGGUGAAAGGCCAAUCAAACCGGGAGAUAGCUGGUUCUCCCCGAAAGCUAUUUAGGUAGCGCCUCGUGAAUUCAUCUCCGGGGGUAGAGCACUGUUUCGGCAAGGGGGUCAUCCCGACUUACCAACCCGAUGCAAACUGCGAAUACCGGAGAAUGUUAUCACGGGAGACACACGGCGGGUGCUAACGUCCGUCGUGAAGAGGGAAACAACCCAGACCGCCAGCUAAGGUCCCAAAGUCAUGGUUAAGUGGGAAACGAUGUGGGAAGGCCCAGACAGCCAGGAUGUUGGCUUAGAAGCAGCCAUCAUUUAAAGAAAGCGUAAUAGCUCACUGGUCGAGUCGGCCUGCGCGGAAGAUGUAACGGGGCUAAACCAUG
rnacentral:rRNA from 1 species